UACGAAGGGGGCGAGCGUGUUCGGAAUUACUGGGCGUAAAGGGCGCGUAGGCGGCGACCCAAGUCAGAUGUGAAAGUCCUGGGCUUAACCUGGGGACUGCAUUUGAUACUGGGUUGCUUGAAUUCGGGAGAGGAUAGCGGAAUUCCCAGUGUAGAGGUGAAAUUCGUAGAUAUUGGGAAGAACACCGGUGGCGAAGGCGGCUAUCUGGACCGACAUUGACGCUGAGGCGCGAAACGUGGGGAGCAAACAGGG
rnacentral:rRNA from 1 species